AUAGUUUUGGAUUUUAAGAAAUAAAAAGAAUUUUAUAAUUUUGAAUAUUUUGUGAGUGUUGUAGCACAUUUAUGAGUGAAAUUUUGUGAGUUUGUUAUUGUGCUUGUCUUUAAUGUAUUUGAAAAGUUUUAUAUCAAUUAAAUAAUUAACUUGAGGGAUAUGAGAGUUUUAUAAGAUUAAGAUCUGAGAUACUUAAAAUUUAAGGUUAGUGA
rnacentral:lncRNA from 1 species